UACGUAGGGUGCAAGCGUUGUCCCGGAAUUAUUGGGCGUAAAGAGCUCGUAGGCGGUUUGUCACGUCGGAUGUGAAAACCCGAGGCUUAACCUCGGGCCUGCAUUCGAUACGGGCUGACUAGAGUUCGGUAGGGGAGACUGGAAUUCCUGGUGUAGCGGUGAAAUGCGCAGAUAUCAGGAGGAACACCAAUGGCGAAGGCAGAUCUCUGGGCCGUAACUGACGCU
rnacentral:rRNA from 1 species